rnacentral:antisense_RNA from 13 species
CUUCACCGAACCCAGCCACAGCGGGUGGCCGGCAGGACGGUUCUGCCCGUAGGUGGCCAGCAACGCGUGCGCCUC